rnacentral:rRNA from 1 species
GACGAACGCUGGCGGCGUGCUUAACACAUGCAAGUCGAACGGAAAGACCCUGCUUUUGUGGGGUGCUCGAGUGGCGAACGGGUGAGUAACAAGUGAGUAACCUGCCCUUGACUUUGGGAUAACUUCAGGAAACUGGGGCUAAUACCGGAUAGGAGCUCCUGCUGCAUGGUGGGGGUUGGAAAGUUUCGGCGGCUGGGGAUGGACUCGCGGCUUAUCAGCUUGUUGGUGGGGUAGUGGCUUACCAAGGCUUUGACGGGUAGCCGGCCUGAGAGGGUGACCGGCCACAGUGGGACUGAGAUACGGCCCAGACUCCUACGGGAGGCAGCAGUGGGGAAUAUUGCACAAUGGGCGGAAGCCUGAUGCAGCAACGCCGCGUGCGGGAUGACGGCCUUCGGGUUGUAAACCGCUUUCGACUGUGACGAAGCGUGAGUGACGGUAAUGGGUAAAGAAGCACCGGCUAACUACGUG